GAUGAACGCUGGCGGCGUGCCUAAUACAUGCAAGUCGAGCGAACGGACGAGAAGCUUGCUUCUCUGAUGUUAGCGGCGGACGGGUGAGUAACACGUGGAUAACCUACCUAUAAGACUGGGAUAACUUCGGGAAACCGGAGCUAAUACCGGAUAAUAUUUUGAACCGCAUGGUUCAAAAGUGAAAGACGGUCUUGCUGUCACUUAUAGAUGGAUCCGCGCUGCAUUAGCUAGUUGGUAAGGUAACGGCUUACCAAGGCAACGAUGCAUAGCCGACCUGAGAGGGUGAUCGGCCACACUGGAACUGAGACACGGUCCAGACUCCUACGGGAGGCCGCAGUAGGGCAUCUUCCGCAAUGGGCGAAAGCCUGACGGAGCAACGCCGCGUGAGUGAUGAAGGUCUUCGGAUCGUAAAACUCUGUUAUUAGGGAAGAACAUAUGUGUAAGUAACUGUGCACAUCUUGACGGUACCUAAUCAGAAAGCCACGGCUAACUACGUG
rnacentral:rRNA from 1 species